rnacentral:rRNA from 1 species
AAGAAACUAACAAGGAUUCCCCUAGUAACUGCGAGUGAAGCGGGAAAAGCUCAAAUUUAAAAUCUGGCGGUCUCUGGCCGUCCGAGUUGUAAUCUAGAGAAGUGUUACCCGCGCUGGACCGUGUACAAGUCCCCUGGAAUGGGGCGUCAUAGAGGGUGAGAAUCCCGUCUCUGACACGGACUACCAGGGCUUUGUGGUAUGCUCUCAAAGAGUCGAGUUGUUUGGGAAUGCAGCUCAAAAUGGGUGGUAAAUUCCAUCUAAAGCUAAAUAUUGGCGAGAGACCGAUAGCGAACAAGUACCGUGAGGGAAAGAUGAAAAGAACUUUGGAAAGAGAGUUAAACAGUACGUGAAAUUGCUGAAAGGGAAACGCUUGAAGUCAGUCGCGUUGGCCGGGAAUCAGCCUCGCUUUUGCGUGGUGUACUUUCUGGUUGACGGGUCAGCAUCAAUUUUGACCGCUGGAAAAAGGCUUGGGGAAUGUGGCAGCUCCGGCUGUGUUAUAGCCCCUUGUCACAUACAGCGGUUGGGAUUGAGGAACUCAGCACGCCGCAAGGCCGGGUUUCGACCACGUUCGUGCUUAGGAUGCUGGCAUAAUGGCUUUAAGCGACCCGUCUUGAAACACGGACCAAGGAGUCUAACAUGCCUGCGAGUGUUUGGGUGGAAAGCCCGAGCGCGUAAUGAAAGUGAAAGUUGAGAUCCCUGUCGCGGGGAGCAUCGACGCCCGGACCAGAACUUUUGGGACGGAUCCGCGGUAGAGCAUGUAUGUUGGGACCCGAAAGAUGGUGAACUAUGCCUGAAUAGGGUGAAGCCAGAGGAAACUCUGGUGGAGGCUCGUAGCGAUUCUGACGUGCAAAUCGAUCGUCAAAUUUGGGUAUAGGGGCGAAAGACUAAUCGAACCAUC